GGCCUCGUAGAUCAGCUGGUAGAGCAUGCGCGUACAAAGCGUCCAUGUGAGGGUUCGAAUCCCACCGAGGCCA
rnacentral:tRNA from 1 species